CAAGGAGAACAUUAUCUUCGGAUAAUAAGUAAACUGGCGAACGGGUGAGUAACGCGUAAACAACUUGCCUCAGAGAUUGGGACAACAUUGGGAAACCAGUGCUAACACCAAAUAAUGCAGCGGGCUCUUCGGAGCACAGUUGUUAAAGUAGGCUUCGGCUUACACUUUGAGAUAGGUUUGCGUCCGAUUAGUUAGUUGGUAGGGUAAAAGCCUACCAAGACCAAGAUCGGUAGCUGGUCUGAGAGGAUGAUCAGCCACACUGGAAUUGAGAUACGGUCCAGACUCCUACGGGAGGCAGCAGUAAGGAAUUUUGCACAAUGGGCGAAAGCCUGAUGCAGCAACGCCGCGUGAACGAUGAAGUUUUUAGGAAUGUAAAGUUCUGUCGUAUGGGAAGAGAUCUUUCGAAUGUUAAUACCAUUCGUUAAUGACGGUACCAUACAAGAAAGCACCGGCUAACUUCGUGCCAACAGCCGCGGUAAUACGAGGGGUGCUAGCGU
rnacentral:rRNA from 1 species